UGUAAUUGGAAUUCACAUACCUAUAAAGCAUGAGAAAGUCAACAUUUUGACUUGAAUGUGCCAUGAAUAGUAAUCCUAAAAUGCAAAGUUUAAGAAAUGUUAUUUUAAGUAAUUUUAGGGGUACAAUUAAAUAGGCAUAAAUUUAUUUAUUGGAUUUAUUAUUAGUUGUGAUAUUGAAACACUGCAAAUUUUGUGUUUCAAUUAAGAAGAAUACG
rnacentral:misc_RNA from 1 species